UUCCGUUACUCCCCAACACUGCACGUACUACAGCCCAUCUAAUUAGGUUGUGCUGUGUUGUGAAGGGGGUCAAGCUGACGUUUGACAGUAAGGCCAGAGCCACAGAAAACCGGCUACAAUCACUGUGAAUACACUCGGAGUGGGCGUCACCCAGUUAACCCGUAACCACAGAGUCAGGCAGUAGGAGGAUAUGGAGGCCAUCUGGAAGCAUUUUUACAGUAUGGUGUGGCACUUUGCCCAUGUGUGCUACAGGAGGGGUCGUAUGACGGUCAUGAAAGAGAGAGUCUCUGGAAUCCUCCAAGGACACUCACAUGAAUAUUCUCAGCCCAAUUUUCUGGGUCAGACCUAAGCUCAAGUGAAAGUACAUGACCUGAUCACAUCUGUCACCAGGUUGUGGAGCGUGAAUUAUCAAACUGUAUGACCUUUAAAAACUUAAAUGAUAUCUUAGGAAUUCUUCAAGCAGCUUUUGUGAGUGUGUGAUGAGACCCUAUGACGACAGAGGCCGUUUAAAAUUACAGUGCCUGACUGCCCUUCUUUUUUCUUCCUCAGAAACGCCAUAUGUUAAUAAGUAGGACAUUUUACUGGGCUGCUAGAAAGUUUGGAAAUGGUUUGAGGAACUGAACUAAAACUGGGAACUGAAUAUCAUUAUUACAUUAAUAAAAUGUGUAAUCAUUAUGCUCCAUAACAUAAAAGCUUUUCAGUUCUCUUUUUUACCCACUUAUUUCAAUGUUGUAUAUUUUUAUGUCUUUUUCAAGCUUUUCCACUCAAUUAUUAUUGAGUAUUCACAGCUAUAGUAAAAAGUAAGCGACUUGGACUGUAGCUUACAAGGUAAAAUAAAGCUGGUUGUUGGAGCUGGUGUAGCCUGUACGUGUAUAGAUGUACUAUUCAGGACAUUAAAGCAAAUGUAAGCUCUGCUGAGCAUUCGUCAAGUAAUAUUAUUUUCAUAUUUUCUCUCAUUCUUCCUCUAAAAGUGUUCCAGUGGUUGAUCAAUCUGGAUGAGACAGGAAAGCAUUUCUACCAUCAUUAUUGCCACUCUGGAAACAAGAUUAGUACUGUACAUCAGGAAAAAAAAUUCCAAGCAGAGCUUCCCAUUUCCAUUAUAUGGAAAUUAUGAGGGAAAACCAAAAAUCAAUUUUACAUGGGAAAAACACAAUAAAGAAAAUGGAGACUGCGCAGCUCUAUGGGGAAGUACAUAAUCGUGACUCCCACAUGGUGAAUUUAUAUCAUCUUCUUCCACAAUCGCUUUGCAUAAUGCAUCUUUGAUCAUUUUCCAAUAAAUAAUAAUUUAACACAAGUGAGUUUUUACUUUUGACACGAAAGAUACAGUUUGCUGAUAAUAUUACCACACUUUUAAGUAAAUGAUCAAAAUCAUCCAGAUUUAAUUUGUUAAAGCUGGUUUAUUUCUUUCCUCAUUGCAAAUGCAAUUAAAAUGAGAUGAAGAUGAUGCCCUUGAGGCCAGGUGUGUACAGUCAGUGCUUAGCAGUCCAUUCAGACGAUAUCAAUUAGAAUAUUGUAUUGAAAAAGACACGUUUUGGCACAAACUUGCGCUCAGAGUAGUCUGUUUCUCGCCAUGUUCCCUGUUUGACAGCCAGGUGGUUCAGCCUUUAGUGCACAGCAGCUUCAGUUAAUUAAGGUUACCGAUUUGGAUCUUGUCAAUGGUUAAUUUGCAGAUGAAAAAGAGGAAACUUUUUCCUGCUUCAGCAGCCUAAGCAUUGUUUUUGUCUUCUCUAACAGCUCGGCCCCGUCAAGUUGAACACAACUGAACAGUGCACGCAAGCCAGUGUUCAGAGGCACAGAUAAGGUUUACUCUGAGAACUGCUGGAAAUCAAUACUGAACCUAGACAAGCUGUUUAAUGUACUUUGAUAAUGUUUGACAGAGGCUUAUCUGGCUUUCAGUUUGUGCAUGGUAUGAGGAAAUUACUGGCCAAAGCUUUUCAUUUCUGGAGAAAUGUUGCAAAUAUUAGAUGAGGUAACUGAGCUUUAUUCUUAAGCAAAAAUGCCAAACGUUGCCUCUUCUCAUAAGUUGGAAUUUGACACUUUUCUUUUGCUUAAAGUUAAACUGAAUAUACACUCACUGGCCACUUUAUUGGGUAUACUUGUUAGGGCUGCCACCUUUUGCCUUGUGGCAUAGAUACAACAAGGUGUUGAAAACAUUCUGGUGCUCUGUUGAAUUGAGAUCUGGUGACUGUGGAGGCCAUUUGAGUACACUGAACUCGCUGUCAUGUUCAAGAAACCAGUUUGAGAUGAUGUGAGCUUUGGGACCUGUUGGAAGCAGCCAUCAAAAGUUGGGGUCAUAAAGGGAUGGACACGGUUAGCAAGCAGGUUGUGGCAUUUAAACAAUGCUUAGUUCUUGCAAAGAGGCCCAAAGUGGCCCAAGAAAACAACCCCCAGACCAUCACAUCAUUGUACCAGCAUAAAUUGUUGAUAUAAGACCGGAUGGAUCCACGCUUUCAUGUUAUCUAUGCCAAAUUGCUGUUGUGUAGCAGAACCGAGAAUAAUCAUACCAGGAAGUGUUUUUAAAUUUUGGUGAGCCAGUGCAAAUUGUGGACUCUGUUUCCAGUUUUAGCUGGAAGGAGUGAUGCCCAUUGUGGUCUUCUGUUGCUGUGGCCUGUCUGCUUAAAGAUUCACCUUGUUGUUCAUUCAGAAAUGCUCUUCUGCACACCUUGGUUGUAACAAGGGGCUAUUUGAGUUACUGUUGCCUGCUGUUGCCUCCAUGUGAGCGGCUGAUUAGACAUUUGCACUGAAGAGCAGUUGAACAGGUAUACCCAAUAAAGUGGCUGGUGAUUUGUAUUUUGGAAUUGUUGGCAAACAUGAUGUACACUUUGAUUGACUCUACUCUAUUAGGCGGUUUAUCUGGAUGUAUCUAUUCCUACUAGUUCUCAAAAAUAAGGCUGUUAUUGUAUUGUAUAUGAUAUGGAUGUAUUAA